GGGAUGGUCUGCGAACUCCUGGGGUUUGUAUAUCUUAUGUUUUCCCUUAUUUCCAACUAAUGUGACAUUUUAAUAUUAAAUGUAAUUUUUAUGUUAAGUUCCUUAAAGUUAACUUCUUUAAUUAUAUUUUUCCAACACCUCUUUUACCAAAGAAACUUUUAUUGACUUUUGGAAGCAUAAAAUAGAUGCUAAAAGGGAUUAGAUAAUAUGUUUUUUAGUAUGUAUACGUAUAUAUAUUUUUUUAUGAAAUACCUUAUCUCCUUUUAUAAUUGUGUUGCCAGUUAGUAUUUUGUAAAGAACUUUCUGAAUACCUAAAACAAAGUUUGUGCUUGUAAAUGUUAAUGUUUAGGUAAUGUUUAAGGUUUAAGUAGCAAUGAGGAAUCUAAUUGAUAAUGGGAACCAAAUCUGUAAUGGUAAAAUACCUGGUGAUUCUAUUUGCUAGAUUUGAAAUCAAAAGGAAGGCUUGUUUGUGUCGGACAAUUUUUAAGUUGUUACCACAGUUCUGCUAAAUGGCAGUAUUGCUGAUUGUGUUAUCUUCUUGUAAUAAAUGAGCUAUCUAGGACCUGAUAAUGGUAUUGUAAGAUAUAUUUGGAAAGUUCAGAUGAUUGUUAAGUACUGGCAAGCUAAAGGAGCACCAUUUGGCUCCGUAAGUACUUCGUAAUCUCUGAAGUGACUGAGAUAGCUCUAAUCGUUGAUGCAGGCGACCAGCCAGAGGUUGUCUAU
rnacentral:misc_RNA from 1 species